rnacentral:rRNA from 1 species
AUUGAACGCUGGCGGCAGGCCUAACACAUGCAAGUCGAGCGGAUGAAGGGAGCUUGCUCCUGGAUUCAGCGGCGGACGGGUGAGUAAUGCCUAGGAAUCUGCCUGGUAGUGGGGGAUAACGUCCGGAAACGGGCGCUAAUACCGCAUACGUCCUGAGGGAGAAAGUGGGGGAUCUUCGGACCUCACGCUAUCAGAUGAGCCUGGUCGGAUUAGCUAGUUGGUGGGGUAAAGGCCUACCAAGGCGACGAUCCGUAACUGGUCUGAGAGGAUGAACAGUCACACUGGAACUGAGACACGGUCCAGACUCCUACGGGAGGCAGCAGUGGGGAAUAUUGGACAAUGGGCGAAAGCCUGAUCCAGCCAUGCCGCGUGUGUGAAGAAGGUCUUCGGAUUGUAAAGCACUUUAAGUUGGGAGGAAGGGCAGUAAGUUAAUACCUUGCUGUUUUGACGUUACCAACAGAAUAAGCACCGGCUAACUUCGUG